rnacentral:rRNA from 1 species
UACUCCUACGGGAGGCAGCAGUGAGGAAUAUUGGUCAAUGGGCGGAAGCCUGAACCAGCCAAGUAGCGUGAGGGAUGACUGCCCUAUGGGUUGUAAACCUCUUUUAUAAGGGAAUAAAAUACGGGACGUGUCCUGUUUUGCAUGUACCUUAUGAAUAAGGACCGGCUAAUUCCGUGCCAGCGAGCCGCGGUAAUA